AUGGCAGAUAGGAUUGUGAGGCCAGCCUCGACGUGCAAGCCUGUCUGCUGUCCAAUUUCUAUUCUGAAGCAGGAGCCAAGUGUAGAACUUAACCUCCCCCUCUGCCUUUGCCUUCCAAACCACUUCGAGCUGCGGUUGCGGGAUACGGCCGAUGAAUUGAGCUUCAAUGUCUACUCUCUUCUGAUUUUUAACAGGAGUCAGCUGCUCGAAAGGAAGAAGCUUGGGCUGGAGUGGAGAGAACCUUGA
rnacentral:rRNA from 1 species